CCCCUCUCAGCACCCCACAAUGGCUCUGUCCAUCCCAUAUGACACCCACUGACCCCAUCCAAGCUCCCAAAUUUUCAGCCACCCCAUGAAGGCUCUGAAGGAGGCUGCCACCACCUCCCUUCGCUGAGAUCAUGUCCAACCUCCCUUUCUCCAGCUCCUCCCCUCCCAGUCCCCUCCCAUUCCCCAGAAUUGCCCCAGUUAGGCCAGGGACAGGCUGGAAUGACCCCUCUGCUCCUUGCUGCACCCCCAGCUCCCUCUUCUCCCUGACCCAGGAUCUGCUGUGAGCCCAGGGUUCCUCCUGGGAUGGUUUGGGAGCUGUAAGAGGAGAUGCCAGGGAUUUGGGUGGCAUUUGUGAGCGAGGCCAGCCUGUCCCAUGGGAGCAGCCAGCUCAGGAGCUGGAGGGGAGAGGAUGAAGGGAGGAAUGAGAAACCCAACACCCUUCUUGGCUCUGUCGUGCUUAAUUUAGAGCACAGGGGCUCUGCCAGAGUGUUUUUCCAUUUAAAGCUGAACCUCUUCCCUUUUGUCCUGCACUGUGCCUUGCAGGGCAGCGGCAGCUGAUGGCUGGGGCUGCUUGGGGCGGUCAGCAAAGCAGUUUCCAAACCAAUUCCCUUGUCCCACCAGCUUCUUCCCCAUUUCUCCCACAUCAAAACUGAAAUCCAUCUCCUCCUGCCAUCCCUGUCCUGCUUUGGGAGGGCAGGAGCCACCCAGAGCCCCAAUCCACAGCUUUGAAUUCCCAUGGGAUGGGCUUUGACCCCCCAGCUGAUCCUGUGCCCCUUGUCCAAGCAGAUUUCAGGGCAGGGAGAGCUCUCCUGUGUCAAUACUAUGUUUAACCACCCUAAUGCCACUCAAUUAAUGUUACAGCCACUUUGGAAAGCUCUUUGCAGGUAAACUGCUGGCAAGAGGCCCAAAGGAAAGGAGGACAAUUCAUCAAAGAUCAUUUAUUGCCAGCAGCUCAGCUGUACUUUGAAAUGGGAUCCAUCCAUCAGCACUUGAUGGCUGCUCCAUGGAGGAGCUCUGCCCAGCUCCAGGGCAGGAGAUAAAUUUUGUUUUUCCAAGAGUUUGGAGAACUCACAUUUGGAGUUAAGAACUGUCCAAGUCCUAACAAGGAGUGCCCAUAACUAAAUACUGGCAGUAAAAUUAACUUUAACUGUACCCACCAGCCUGUGCCAGAGAUGUCACCUCUAGCCUGUCACCACCAUCAGCUGCAGGGAGAGGCUGAAAAAACUCAGAGCUUAUCAAAAAGCUGCCUGGGACACGACUUCUCACUGGAUGAGGUUGUCCCAGUGAGGAAAUGCUGGGGACUCACAGUGCUUUUAUCUGAGACAGGCAAAACGAUGGCUGGCUGCAAACUGGAGCCAGAGAAAUUCAAAUUUGAACUGAAACACAGGAUUUUAACAGGCUGGUGUUUAUCCAUGAGGGAAAAAUAAAACACUGAAAGUUCUGAGGGAAGCAGGGGCUUGUGGUGAUUCCAUAUCAGCUGUAUCCCUGAAAGAAAUGUGUGCUGGAGAGAUCCUGGGGCUGAGGAUCUCCAGUGUGGGGGAUUUUUCAGGCAGAGAGAACAAUAUUGUCAUUGUUUUUGUUCUCUGAGUGAUGGGCAGGGGCUACUACUCCCAAGGUCUGCCAGGGCUUCUUAUAUUUAGCAAAAUGCUGCAAGAAAAUUGGUCUCAUUUCUUGAAAACUGGGAACCAGCAAGAGCCAGAGAGGUAAAACGAUGGCUGGCUGCAAAUUGGAGCCAGAGAAAUUCAAAUUAGAACUGAAACACAGGAUUUUAACAGGCUGGUGUUUAUCCAUGAGGGAAAAAAACCCCAAAACACUGAAAGUUCCAAGGGAAGCAGAGAGUUGUGGUGAUUCCAUAUCAGCUGUAUCCCUGAAAGAAUUGUGUGCUGGAGAGAUCCUGGGGCUGAGGAUCUCCAGUGUGGGGGAUUUUUCAGGCAGAGAGAACAAUAUUGUCAUUGGUUUUGUUCUCUGAGUGAUGGGCUGGGGUGCAUAAAAUUGGUCUCAUCCUUUGAAAACUGGGAACCAGCAAGAGGCAGCACGGGGAGAAUUCAAGCCAGGUCACUCUGGGGAAGUGCAUUUCAAAAUCCUGAGAAGCCCUGGACGUUGUGCACUCCCUACUGUGACAGGAGCCAGAUUGCCCAUUUCCAUCAGCAGCAGCUGCUCGCAGGUACAGGCUGCCUAAAUAAACUGCUUUAUAGUGGUUGGGUUCUUUCUUUGGUAAGCAUUUGGUGGUGCAGAAAAAAGGAGAAAACGUCCAUGUUCUGUGAGAUCCCAGUUUCCUCCCUGUGCUUCAGGGGCUGACUCCAAGCCCUUUUCCUGGAGAGAGGUUUGAUCUUCACAGCUUCCCUGGGCCAGGGCACAAGGAAGGGCAGCAGAUGCCUCUGCUCUGCUCCUGGGAAAUAAUUAUUGAUUCACACUCCUGUGUAAGUGAAAUCAGAACCUGCAGCUCCAAGUUCCAGCCUGAAUUUAGCAGCACAGCUCCCACAGCCCUGCUCCUGCUCAGGCAGCUUUUCCAAGGGAUCUGCUCCCUCCUGCAGCUCCUUAAAAUCCCCACCAGAGGAUUCCUCCCCUCCACAGAGCAUCAGCAUGGAGCUGAAACCAAAGCUGUGGCUCCUCUCAAGCCAGGAUAUAUUCCUCAAGUUGUCCAGAGAUGAUUGAGGGUUGCAAGAUGCUUUUUCCUCUGAUGAUACUGGCAGGAAAAAUAUCACAAUAAAGCAAUAAAGCAGGAUGGUCCUGCUUGUUGUGAGAGAGCUGGGCUGAGCUCCAGGGCAGUGCAGCAGCCCCAUGGGCACAGGGAGGGUUAAUUCCCUGCUAACUUCCAGGUGCUGAGUUGCUGAGUUUAUCCCCAGCUCCCUGACUUCCUCCAUCAGGGACUCCUAAAACUGUUUGAAAAGAAACAUUUCUUGAAGAGAGAUAUUUCUGAACCUAAACAGGAAAAAAAGACAGGAACAACACAUCUGGAGUGACUCCUGCUCUGCUUUUUUCCACUCUGCACAGGGGAGUUAGGAUGAAACCCAAAAAUUCACUUUGCACUGGUGUAUUUAGCCCUGAAAUGCAAAUUCAUGGUGGUGCUGCCUGGGGUUAAAGCCUGACAAACUUCAGGCUCAUAAAAAGAGGCUGACAAAGCAAAGGAGAAAAAAAAAGAAAAGCUUUCAAGACUUUCAAGUGAGAAACAAAGCAGCACUGUACAAACAUGCCUGGCUCUCCAUUUGCCUGGAAUCCCCAAGGCUGCUCUGCACUGGCAGGCUGCAUGGCAAUGCCUGAUUAGCUUGCACUCUGUGUCCUCACUGUGCUGCAGCAGAGAAGGACAGGGCUGCCAGGGUUUGCAGCAGCUCCAAAAGUCCCAGCACUGCUGCAGUGAGGACCUGCCUGCAUUUUAUAACAUUUCUUCCCAGGGAGAACAAGAUCUGCCUGAUGGAUGAAUGCAGAGACCCAGAAAUAGGGAAUUCAUAACCUGGAUGGCAAGUUUUUUAUGGAAUGAGCUGAAUUUAAGCUUGAUGAAACCUGCUUUGUGAAAACCCUCAGGAAGAUCUCUCAUGCUCACUGUUGUAAGAAGAGGAUCCAACUGAUAACACUGGAGUAUCACUGCCAGAGUGGAUGAGUUUUGUGCAUAAUGAUGUGUGCUUGGGACAUCCCAUUUAGCAUCACCACCAAGGGAAUGGAUUUUUUCUGCAGCUGCCUGUAGCUGGAAAAGAACCCCAUUGUUAGUGCAGAAUGGAUGCACAGAACAGCAUCACUCCAUGGAGUAUUAAUCAGCAAAAAGCAAAGGAAAACAGACACACAACCCUCCUGCUCUGAAUCAUGCCCUGUGCUGCUGUUGCAAAGAUUUCUAAAUGGAUGAGAGGGCAGGAAUUUGGGGCUGGACAGGCCAGGAAGUGUUGCUUUAAAAGUUUGGGCCUUCAUUCUUUGAGGUCCCAAACUACACCUGAUACUUGUUUGCCAACCUGCCAACUGUUUGACAAGACCCCUGUGACCAGAACACUGUGGAUUUAUGCAGGAGUUCUCCAAAAUUUAAUUCAAUCUACGACUUCUUGUCUUUCAGGUAGCUGGGGUGCACUUCAGGUAGAUGCAUGACUCAUGAUAAUAAGUGAUGGUGAAAGGCUGAGUCAAAAUGCAGCUGUCAGCAUUAUUGAUUUAUUUAACUGGUGUCUUCUAAGAAAGCAAAGUUCAGGAAAAAAAUAAAAAUAAUAAUAAAAAAAUCACCAAUACUGUGUAAGGAAGAGGAGCAGUAGCUAAAGGACAAAGCAAAUAUUGACAUCAGGACAUCUCAUUUUCAAUUCAGCAGCCACCUGAGCAAAAUUACUUCUGUGAAAGGUUGGCAAAAAGUCACAGUAAAAUAGAAAAUUUAAUCUGCCUGAGUGAAGAUUUGCUGUCUUAUAUGAUAUAGCUUGGUGUUGUCUCAGCUCUGUAAGUACUUAUUCCAGAAAACAGCUUUCAUUACAGGGGUAAUAAAAGCUUAGAAGAAAAAAGAACUAAUUAGUGACUGGUCUUAACGAGGUGGGACUGUAAGACAUAAAGGUGUGGAAGUUCCUCCUCACAAAAAAUAAAGAGAAAUAGCAUUGACAAAUGG